rnacentral:tRNA from 1 species
GCCCCUGUAGUCUAACCUGGAUAGGAUGGAAGCUUGCGGAGCUUCAGGUCCGGGUUCAAAUCCCGGCAGGGGCA